ensembl:lncRNA
GUGCCAAUGUUAUUUAAAGCAAUCUUGCAACAAUGCAGCAGAAAAGAAAGAAAAUUCUUGUCUCCACUGAAUUCCAGAAAAAUUGUGUCUCUGCUUCAUCAAAACCUGUGCAACAGAAGCAUCCUUAGGAUGUUGCUUUCUGUGCGAGUUGUGCCCCAGGAAGGCAGGGGAGUGGCUUGUUUCUCCCUCAAAUGACUUUUGUGUGCUCUCCUUGCCUAACUAUGAGGAUUUGAGACAGCAUAAAAAAGAUAUUCAAAAGGGAAGCAAACCUACCUCAAGCAUAUUUGCCACAUGCUUUUCCUAACCUCAUCUGCAGUCUACCUCCAUGUACUUAUACAUACUGGGUUUUGUACCAUUUUUGCCGUAGCAUCCACAGAAAUAAUUUGGACUGCUCCAAUCCUGUAGUC